GAGGCGCGAAAGCGUGGGGAGCAACCAGGAUUAGAUACCCUGGUAGUCCACGCCGUAAACGAUGAAUGCUAGGUGUUAGGGGUUUCGAUACCCUUGGUGCCGAAGUUAACACAUUAAGCAUUCCGCCUGGGGAGUACGCUCGCAAGAGUGAAAUUCAAAGGAAUUGACGGGGACCCGCCCAAGCAGUGGAGUAUGUGGUUUAAUUGGAAGCAACGCGAAGACCCUUACCAGCUCUUGACAUUUGAGUGAAAGCACCAGAGAUGGUGCCCUUUUUCGGAACACUCAAGCCAGGUGGUGCAUGGUUGUCGUCAGCUCGUGUCGUGAGAUGUUGGGUUAAGUCCCGCAACGAGCCCACCCCUUGAUUUUAGUUGCCAGCACUUCGGGUGGGCACUCUAAGGUGACUGCCGGUGACAAACCGGAGGAAGGUGGGGAUGACGUCAAAUCAUCAUGCCCCUUAUGAGCUGGGCUACACACGUACUACAAUGGCCGGUACAACGGGAAGCGAAACCGCGAGGUGGAGCCAAUCCUAUCAAAGCCGGUCUCAGUUCGGAUUGCAGGCUGCAACUCGCCUGCAUGAAGUCGGAA
rnacentral:rRNA from 1 species